AGAGUUUGAUCCUGGCUCAGGAUGAACGCUGGCGGUAUGCUUAACACAUGCAAGUCGAACGAAGCCUUUCGGGGCUUAGUGGCGGACGGGUGAGUAACGCGUGAGAAUCUGCCAUCAGGUCUGGGACAACCACUGGAAACGGUGGCUAAUACUGGAUGUGCCUUUCGGGGUGAAAGGUUAACUGCCUGUUGAUGAGCUCGCGUCUGAUUAGCUAGUAGGUGUGGUAAAGGCGCACCUAGGCGACGAUCAGUAGCUGGUCUGAGAGGACGAUCAGCCACACUGGGACUGAGACACGGCCCAGACUCCUACGGGAGGCAGCAGUGGGGAAUUUUCCGCAAUGGGCGAAAGCCUGACGGAGCAAUACCGCGUGAGGGAGGAAGGCUCUUGGGUCGUAAACCUCUUUUCUCA
rnacentral:rRNA from 1 species